CUCUCGUAAAUGGUUUAUUUGUUGAAAUAUUAUCUAAUCUUAGCUGACCUGGUAAGCAACAAAGAUCAAUGAUUAAAAAUCUCAGUUUGUUUGAAUUCUACGUAAUGCUUCAAUAUUGUAACUUCUUAUGGAUUUUGGAUGAUUAUGGUUAUGGUUAUCUGCUUAAAAUAACUAUAGGGGACGCAGUUUUGGUAAAAACCCUUGCCUUUGAAUUUGAGUUGUGUAAUUUGUAUUCUCUUUUU
rnacentral:lncRNA from 1 species